rfam:Clostridium symbiosum WAL-14163 genomic scaffold supercont1.11, whole genome shotgun sequence.
GGAUGGGUUCCCGAGUGGCCAAAGGGGGCAGACUGUAAAUCUGUUGCGACACGCUUCGGUGGUUCGAAUCCACCUCCAUCCA